rnacentral:rRNA from 1 species
CCUACGGGAGGCAGCAGUAAGGAAUAUUGGUCAAUGGACGAAAGUCUGAACCAGCCAUGCCGCGUGAAGGAUGAAGGUCCUCUGGAUUGUAAACUUCUUUUANCUGGGACGAAAAAAGGGCAUUCUUGCUCACUUGACGGUACCAGAGGAAUAAGCACCGGCUAACUCCGUGCCAGCAGCCGCGGUAAUACGGAGGGUGCAAGCGUUAUCCGGAUUCACUGGGUUUAAAGGGUGCGUAGGUGGGUUGGUAAGUCAGUGGUGAAAUCUCCGAGCUUAACUCGGAAACUGCC